GGUCUCUGUAGCUCAGUGGAAAGGCAUCUGCCUUGCACGCAGAAGGCCACAGGUUCAAUCCCCAUCAUUUCCA